AGAGUUUGUAGUCCUGGCGUCAGGAUGAACGCUGGCGGCGUGCCUAACACAUGCAAGUCGAGCGAAGCACUUUGUUAGAACUUUCGAGGGACGAGGAAGUGACUGAGCGCGGACGGUGAGUAACGCUGGGCAACCUGCCUUACACAGGGGGAGUAACAGUUGAAAUGACUGCUAAUACCGCAUAAGACCACAUUGCCGCAUGGCAGGGUGGUAAAAACUCCGGUGGUGUAAGAUGGGCCCGCGUCUGAUUAGGUAGUUGGCAGGGUAGAGGCCUACCAAGCCUACGAUCAGUAGCCGGCCUGAGAGGGUGGACGGCCACAUUGGGACUGAGACACGGCCCAAACCCCUACGGGAGGCAGCAGUGGGGAAUAUUGCACAAUGGGGGAAACCCUGAUGCAGCGACGCCGCGUGAGUGAGGAAGUAUUUCGGUAUGUAAAGCUCUAUCAGCAGGGAAGAAAAUGAUGGUACCUGACUAAGAAGCCCCGGCUAACUACGUG
rnacentral:rRNA from 1 species